CGCCCUUGUACUACUCUAGUUAAUACGUGUGACACAGCUGAAGGACAGUAACAUCAACAACUUUACCAAAAAUACGCUUCGUUACCCAUCACCAGAAACACAACGGGAACCAUGGAUAAUUCAAGGAAGGCUCCGUAUCUGCAACGUCUUCUCGACACCCUUGUGCAGCUCCGACAACGAGGUUCAGCCUAGUGAAUGCCCUCAUGGCACCGUGACGAACCGCUGUGGCAACACUGUGUGCGCCAAGGUGAC